CCUACGGGUGGCUGCAGUGGGGAAUAUUGGACAAUGGGCGAAAGCCUGAUCCAGCCAUGCCGCGUGUGUGAAGAAGGCCUUCGGGUUGUAAAGCACUUUCAGUGGGGAAGAAAGCCUUGGGGCUAAUACCCUCGAGGAAGGACAUCACCCACAGAAGAAGCACCGGCUAACUCCGUGCCAGCAGCCGCGGUAAUACGGAGGGUGCGAGCGUUAAUCGGAAUUACUGGGCGUAAAGCGCGCGUAGGCGGUCUGAUAAGCCGGUUGUGAAAGCCCCGGGCUCAACCUGGGAACGGCAUCCGGAACUGUGCGGGGAGGGGCCAGGUGAGCAGGAGAGAUACCCGGGUGGGGCGGUGAAAGGGGAAGAGAGGGGGAGGAAUAACAGGGGAGAGGUGGCCCUUCUGGAAGAACACCGACGCGGGGUUGUGAAAGCGGGUGCACAAAACAGGAUUCGAGCCACCAGAAGUC
rnacentral:rRNA from 1 species